CAUAGCGACUAUCGUGGCAUAUCAAUAAGCGGAGGAAAAGAAACUAACUAGGAUUCCCCUCAGUAACGGCGAGUGAAGCGGGAAGAGCUCAAAUUUGAAAUCUUCAAGGGUUUACCUUUACGAAUUGUAGUUUAAAGAAGUGUUUUCUGUUGAAGUUUUGGUAAAAGUUCUUUGGAAUAGGACAUCAUAGAGGGUGAGAAUCCCGUAUUUGACCAUUUCUUUCAGCUUGGUGAUACACUUUCAAAGAGUCGGAUUGUUUGGGAAUGCAGUCCAAAAUGGGUGGUAAAUUUCAUCUGAAGCUAAAUAUUGGCGAGAGACCGAUAGCGAACAAGUACCGUGAGGGAAAGAUGAAAAGAACUUUGAAAAGAGAGUUAAACAGUACGUGAAAUUGUCAAAAGGGAAGCGUUUGACACCAGUGUUGUUUUCCUCGAAAAUCAAUUAAAAAAUGCCGGAUUUUGUGUUGUAUUGACUCUUAUAAGCUUUCUGCACUCUUUUUCUUAUCUUUUUUAAUGCACUUUUCGUUUAACAAGUCAACAUCAGUUUCUUUUGUUGUAAAAGGGUCAUUGGAAGGUGGCUUUCAUUUCGGUAAAAGUGUUUAUAGCCUUUGACUUCUGCAAUCGGAGAGAUUGAGGUCUGCAGCGUAGAUCCUUCGGGGUUAGAUACAUUUGUGCUAAGUUAUAGCUUUUCAUAGACAACUUGUUGACUAUGUUAAGUCUUGUAGCUUACUCGCUUAUGCUAUUUUACCUACGCUUAGGAUGUUGAUAGUCACAGCGUGUAC
rnacentral:rRNA from 1 species